GUGGUUCUUGAAUUUUUUUUUAGUUUUUUUUUUAACUUUGCUUUGUAUCGCAGAUGGUACCUACACCGGACAACACCCAAACACCAAAACCUCUCCAAACAAGGAACUGACGUAACUGGUGGAAGUGACGUCACUCCCGUGGGUCAAUUGGAGGCGCCAGGAAGUUCAUCAAGAACAGGUGCACUUUGAAUAUGUGCAUGCCCCCCAACAUCUUGCGAGUGGCAGUCAGUCAAGUGCGGUCCAAGCCUUUGAGAUGGAGCAGACGUCGCUGCACGAGAGCCGGCCUGUCUGGGCAGAUGCUGCGGCCGCCUCUUUGUAAACAAGCAAGCUCCAGACAAGAAGCUCAACUAACAUGUAAGUCACGCUUC